GACGAACGCUGGCGGCGUGCUUAACACAUGCAAGUCGAACGGAAAGGCCCUGCUUUUGUGGGGUGCUCGAGUGGCGAACGGGUGUGUAACACGUGAGUAACCUGCCCUUGACUUUGGGAUAACUUCAGGAAACUGGGUCUAAUACCGGAUAGGAGCUCCUGCUGCAUGGUGGGGGUUGGAAAGUUUCGGCGGUUGGGGAUGGACUCGCGGCUUAUCAGCUUGUUGGUGGGGUAGUGGCUUACCAAGGCUUUGACGGGUAGCCGGCCUGAGAGGGUGACCGGCCACAUUGGGACUGAGAUACGGCCCAGACUCCUACGGGAGGCAGCAGUGGGGAAUAUUGCACAAUGGGCGGAAGCCUGAUGCAGCAACGCCGCGUGCGGGAUGACGGCCUUCGGGUUGUAAACCGCUUUCGCCUGUGACGAAGCGUGAGUGACGGUAAUGGGUAAAGAAGCACCGGCUAACUACGUG
rnacentral:rRNA from 1 species